rnacentral:tRNA from 1 species
CAGGUGUAGUUCAAUGGUAGAACCUCAGCCUUCCAAGCUGAUGACGCGGGUUCGAUUCCCACUACCUG